GGGAAAGUGGCUCAGUGGUAGAGUGCUUGCCUUGCAUGCAUGAGGACCUGGGUUCGAUUCCUCAGUACCA
rnacentral:tRNA from 1 species